rnacentral:rRNA from 1 species
GCACUAUACUGUGAAACUGCGAAUGGCUCAUUAAAUCAGUUAUCGUUUAUUUGAUAGUACCUUACUACUUGGAUAACCGUGGUAAUUCUAGAGCUAAUACAUGCUAAAAACCCCGACUUCGGAAGGGGUGUAUUUAUUAGAUAAAAAACCAAUGCCCUUCGGGGCUCCUUGGUGAUUCAUAAUAACUAAACGAAUCGCAUGGCCUUGCGCCGGCGAUGGUUCAUUCAAAUUUCUGCCCUAUCAACUUUCGAUGGUAGGAUAGUGGCCUACCAUGGUUUCAACGGGUAACGGGGAAUUAGGGUUCUAUUCCGGAGAGGGAGCCUGAGAAACGGCUACCACAUCCAAGGAAGGCAGCAGGCGCGCAAAUUACCCAAUCCCGACACGGGGAGGUAGUGACAAUAAAUACUGAUACAGGGCUCUUAUGGGUCUUGUAAUUGGAAUGAGUACAAUUUAAAUCCCUUAACGAGGAACAAUUGGAGGGCAAGUCUGGUGCCAGCAGCCGCGGUAAUUCCAGCUCCAAUAGCGUAUAUUAAAGUUGUUGCAGUUAAAAAGCUCGUAGUUGAACCUUGGGCCUGGCUGGUCGGUCCGCCUCACCGCGUGUACUGAUCCGGCCGGGCCUUUCCUUCUGGCUAGCCGCAUGCCCUUUACUGGGUGUGUUGGUGAACCAGGACUUUUACUUUGAAAAAAUUAGAGUGUUCAAAGCAGGCCUUUGCUCGAAUACAUUAGCAUGGAAUAAUAGAAUAGGACGUGUGGUUCUAUUUUGUUGGUUUCUAGGACCGCCGUAAUGAUUAAUAGGGAUAGUCGGGGGUAUCAGUAUUCAAUUGUCAGAGGUGAAAUUCUUAGAUUUAUUGAAGACUAACUACUGCGAAAGCAUUUACCAAGGAUGUUUUCAUUAAUCAGUGAACGAAAGUUAGGGGAUCGAAGACGAUCAGAUACCGUCGUAGUCUUAACCGUAAACUAUGCCGACUAGGGAUCGGGUGAUGUUAUUAUUUUGACUCGCUCGGCACCUUACGAGAAAUCAAAGUC